GCGGAUGUGGCGAAAUUGGCAGACGCACCAGAUUUAGGUUCUGGCGCCGCGAGGCGUGGGGGUUCAAGUCCCUCCAUCCGCACCA
rnacentral:tRNA from 1 species